CUGGGUACAAUCAAAUACUUGCAAAGUUUGUGUGUGGAUCAAGAUACGAUUGAUCCCUCCAGAUUAUAAGAGCUGGUGCAUCGUUGUAUGUUAAUUUAGUAAAAUCUUAACCAAAAUGAUCCAUGAGAUAGAUUUGAAAGGUUGAAAUAUAAUGUGGAUAAAAUACUCUAGGUUGAUAGGUAAACCUAGAUCAUCCUAGAGCAUUCAGGA
rnacentral:lncRNA from 1 species